rnacentral:rRNA from 1 species
GACGAACGCUGGCGGCGUGCUUAACACAUGCAAGUCGAACGGAAAGGCCCUGCUUGCAGGGUACUCGAGUGGCGAACGGGUGAGUAACACGUGGGUGAUCUGCCCUGCACUUCGGGAUAAGCCUGGGAAACUGGGUCUAAUACCGGAUAGGAGCCAUUUUUAGUGUGAUGGUUGGAAAGUUUUUUCGGUGUAGGAUGAGCUCGCGGCCUAUCAGCUUGUUGGUGGGGUAAUGGCCUACCAAGGCGGCGACGGGUAGCCGGCCUGAGAGGGUGGACGGCCACAUUGGGACUGAGAUACGGCCCAG